rnacentral:misc_RNA from 1 species
UCUCCGUUGGUGAACCAGCGGAGGGAUCAUUACCGAGUUUACAACUCCCAAACCCCUGUGAACAUACCUAUACGUUGCCUCGGCGGAUCAGCCCGCGCCCUGUAAAAAGGGACGGCCCGCCCGAGGACCCUAAACUCUGUUUUUAGUGGAACUUCUGAGUAAAACAAACAAAUAAAUCAAAACUUUCAACAACGGAUCUCUUGGUUCUG